UGAACACAGGUUCACCAGCUGCUCCAUAGGGUCCUGUCCAGCCAGCCUCAAGAGGAGAUGAGUAACAGGCCCCAGAAAGCACACCUGAGCUUGCCUGCACCUGCUCUUACUUGCACCUGAGCCUACCUGCACCUGAGGUUACCAACACCUGAGCUUAACUGCAUCUGUGGUUAUCUGCACCUGAGUUUGUCCACGCUUGAGUUUACCCACACCUGAGGAUACCUGCACCUGACCUCCCUUCACCUGUGCUUACCCGCAUCUGAGCUUACCUGCCACAGCAGUGGAAUGGAGAGGGCACAGCUCAGGCUCUUUCAGCCUCCUCCUUGGCCAGGGCAGGGAGCUGGGUGAGGAGGGCCCACCCUUUAAGAGGAGCAGUCCCCAUGAGGAGCAUGUGAGCACUUGGGCCUGGGCCCUCAUGAUUGCUGUGAAGCGAUGGCCCCAUGACCUGACUCCCAGGCCAGAAAAGGAAGCCAGGGCCCCAAGCUUCCAGGCUGUUCUGUGUGGAAUCCCACAAAGGCAGCCUUAGGAUGUGAGAGAGGUAGGGGAGCUAGAGCUUUUCCUUUGAAGUGGCCCCGCCAUGGCCCCCUCCCACCCAGCCGCCCUUCCCUGGCUGGAAAUGUCAGCAGGGUUUGCAUAAUUGAGACAAUUGGACAUAAUGGUUCUUUCAGAAUCCCCUCAUCAGCUGGGCAGUGUUCGUGCCCCGGGGAGCUGGGAGAAGGCGGCACAUGGCACUAAUUACUGCUAAUCCUUCCUCAUCUAAGUUGGGCCUGAGGUCAGGGUGAACCCAGCUGCAAAUGCAGUGUGAGCCCCACAUGACUCUCAGCCCCUUCUGAGUGCUUCUAAUCCCUGCUCUCCCCCCUUCACCAGGAGCUUGCCUGCUUGGCAUCCACAGUCACCUGAAAACCACCACGGUGGGAGCUCUGUUGGAUUUGCUGUAACAGUAUGCGUGGUUAUUCCAGCUUUCCAUGAGCUUUCUCAGCCCAGGAGGAAAGAAAAAACCCAAACCCUGAACUAUCCCUCUCUGCAGAGGGGCUGGGUCUUCCCCAGCAUCUGAGGCUCUUGGGCAUUGUCCGCCUCCCGCUUCUCACAGAGGAGCAGACAGAUUGGACGUAAGGGCAAUUAGGGGUGUUCCCAUUUUACAGAUGAGGACUCUGAGUCAUGUGAGAGGGUGGCUUGCCCAGAGAGCAGGUGGGGUGGAGUGGGAGUGCCCAGGUUGUCAAGUUCUGCCCAUAUGUAGAGUCCUGAAGCUGGAGGCUGGGCUCACUCCCCCACCCAAUGCCUGGCAGACAGCCUGGGGCUCAGGGAAUCUCUGAACUUCUGACGGAAGCACAUGUGCCAGGCCAUUUUCUGGGUCUGUCUUUGCUUUCAUUCGUUUCUCUCAGGGUCUGUCACCGCAGAGUGGGCGUGCAAAGGGUCUGAAUACUCUCUACAAUGAAAAUAAAACCAGUGACUCUGUAGUGGAGAUAAUCCAUUGUGUUACAGCUUUGUAGCUGUAAACCUGGUUGGUCCUGGAUCCUGCCAUGAGUAAAGGUUGCAGCUGGAGCUUCCGGAAAUUCCUAGCAGAGAGCAUUAUCUGAGCUGGCUUUCCUUCUCAUCAAACUCCUAACAUCUCAUUAAUCCGCAACUCCACUAACUGCACGUAAGAAGCCCCAGUGUGUCACUGUGCUGGCAUCCCUGAGAGUCUGAGUGUAACGUUCUGCCCUUUGCUGGGACCUAAUGGAGGACUUUCAAAUCCCAACACCAUGGCUAACACUUCUGAAGUCUUCACUCUGGAGUGAUGGCAAAAUUCCCAAAAUGUGGGUCCAAUUAUAUGGAAGUUGAUUCGACCUUUUCUUCCUUCAAGAUGUCUGUGUUCCUGAGAAGAAAUGUGGGCAGGAAUAAUGGCAAGAGAUGAUUUUGCCUCAAUCUGACUUCAAGCUUCUUUUGUUGAUAGCAGCAGACUGCAUGAAAACAGGAUCUUUGGGGACAAAAUGAUGCUCCUGAGCCCCAUGUAGGCAGCUGUGGCUCCUCACAGUCCACACGGGAAGACGUCUCAGUGUUUAGAAGAGCUCAACGCAUGGCACCCCUCUUCAACACCUGGCGCCCAGGGCGUUAUUUCUAUCUCCUGUGUCCUCAUGCCCUCUUAGAACGGGAGAGCUCGUAACAGUCUUCAAGUUGAUCUCCUGUUAGUGUCAUGUCCUUAAGUAAUGCUUUAUCGCUUCUAAAAUCUGAAUUUUACCCCAUUGGUUACAAUAACCCAUAAAGCAAAACAAAGCACCCACCCCCCCAAAAAAAUUUGGCUGUACCUAGUAAAUCGCAGUGAAACUUUUGUUCUGGGAAUAGAGUAUUGUUACCCGAAACUUUUGUUUAAAUAAGCACAAAGACUUCGCAUUUUUAUCUUUUGAAAAAAUCUUUGGAAAAGUCUGAAACACAGGCCAAGGCAAGGCUGCUAACAGAAAGGUAGAGAGUGUGAGCAUACAGAGCUUGGGUAGGACAAGUGCUGGAAAGUGUGGCAAUAGAAGAAGGGAUGUGGCAUUCUACUUUUUAAAGCUCAUUCCUUCUUCCCGAGUUGAUUCAGAAAUUGAGUGGCUGGGAGCUGUGGCUCAUGCCUGUAAUCCCUUUAGGAGGCCGAGGUGGGUGGAUCACCUGAGGUUGGGAGUUUGAGAUCAGCCUGACCAACAUAGAGAAACCCCAUCACUACUAAAAAUACAAAAUUAGCCGUGCAUGGUGGUGCAUGCCUGUAAUCCCAGCUACUCAGGAGGCUGAAGCAGGAGACUUGCUUGAACCUGGGAGGUGGAGGUUGUGGUGAGCCGAGAUCGUGCCACUGCACUCCAGUCUGGGUUCUUGAGCAAAUAACACCCUAGUUAAGGAUUGCUAACAAUUAGUCCCAAAUGCUCCCCAGUCCUGGGAAACUUUGCUUAGCAGAGGUUUCUCCAUCUCAUGGUGCCCAGCUCCUUCCUCCCAAGGGGCCAAUUAAACUUUUUUUUUAAUUGGCUGAGAUGAAAAGGCGUGGUGUCCACUUUGAGGGGUUCCUGAUUCAGAGAUAGCUCUUAGAGUACUGCGUCUGCCCAAAGGUGAUAUUCUCUAAACUCGGCCUCUUAGAGCUCAGGCAUUCUCAACAAAAAAGAUUCCACGUGAACUAAAUUUGGGCAACUCUGCUUCCUGUAUUUUCCUCUUGGAGAUUCACAAUGCAUAUUAGGAUAUUAAAAUUCUGAGAAGUCCUGCCACAAAGAACCCCCUUUUCUUUCUUGUAACCCAGCAUUCCUCAAACUCAUUUGCCCAUAGGAUCUUUUUUCUUCUGAAAUACCUCUUAAUAUUUCACAUAACGAAAGUAUCACAACAGAGGACUUGGGAAAAACUCGAUUAACACAAGCUUAACCAUCUGAGGUGCCGGUAAGUGUUCCGUGUUGGAGCAAUCUGCUUCCUGAAGUCCCAUUCAGAAGGCUGGAGCAGGUUCCUGACAGUAGAACCCCUGUCCAGGGCUGCUGUCUUGGCUUUAGGUAGCUAAGAUCACCUCUCACUGUGUCUUCUGCCUGAAUCACCCCCUUCAAAACUCACCACGGCCCACCUUCUCCAGCUGGUGAAUGGUAACUCACAGGAGUGAAUCUCCCAGCCAAAUCAACAAGAAAGGGAGGGCUCCACAGGACAGGACCCCUGAUUCUGCCUGCUCCUCCCUAACUCUCCAGGAAGAGUGCUGCCUCUGAGCCCCUGACUGGGAAAGACUUGGAAAGAGCCAGGGCCACCAUGGACUGUCACAACCAACGGGGUUCUCCAAAGGGUCACCUAUGCAUACAGAAUUCAAUACCCAGCUCUGACAGUUUUUUUUUUUUCAAAAUCUCUAAGGUAUAGAGAUAAAAAUGGGUCAAACAAUAUCUUAAAGACAGUGACUGAGAAUUUUCCAAACUGUCAAAAAACAUUUUUCUUUGUACUCCUAAAAUGUUUUUUUUUAACUUUAGGUUCCCCCAUACAACUGCAGGUUUGUUACACAAGUAAACUUGUGUCAUAGCACUUUACUGUACAAAUUAUUUUAUCAACUAGUUUUUUGCCCUCCAUCACCCACGUUUUAAGACUACUGUGCCCAUAGUUAGUUCAUUCCGGUGGAUUUCUGGUCCCACCGCCUUUAAGAAUGAAGCAUGCGGACCUUCCCGGUGAGUGUUACAGCUCUUAAAGGUGGCAAGGACCCACAGUUAGCAACAGCAAGAUUUAUUGUGAAGAUGUGAACAGCAAAACAACGACGCUCCCACACGCUGGAAGGGUACCGAGCAAAUUGACUUUGCUGGCUAACGGGUGGGCAGCUUUUAUUCCCUUAUUUGGCCCUGCCCAUGUCCUGCAGAUUGGUCCAUUUUACAGAGUGCUGAUUGGUCCAUUUUACAGAGUGCUGAUUGGUCCAUUUUACAGAGUGCUGAUUGGUCCAUUUUUACAGAAUGCUGAUUGGUGCAUUUACAAUCCUCUAGCUAGACAGAAAAGUUCUCCAAGUCCCCACUGGACACAGAAGCCCAGCUGGCUUCACCUCUCACUAGUACCCUUAUUUUUUUCUGAUCUUUUCUCUCCUCCCACUGUCCAUCCUCCAAAAGGCCCCAGUGUGUGUUGUUCCCCUCUAUGUGUCCAAGUGUUCUCAUCAUUUAGCUCCCAUUUAUAAGUGAGGACAUGUGGUAUUUGGUUUUCUGUUCCUGUGUUAAUUUGCUAAGUAUAAUGCCCUCCAGCUUCAUCCAUGUCCCUGCAAAGGACAUGAUCUUGUUCUUUUUUAUGGCUGCCUAGUAUUCC
rnacentral:tRNA from 10 species